rnacentral:rRNA from 1 species
AUGAACGGCGACACCUUGUUGGCGAUGGUCAGCCAAGAGCUUAUGGAACGCGCACGGGGCUGGGACAGGCUGAUCCCCUGGACGCCUGAGCAUGUUCUUUUCGAAGAUUAUUUGGAAUAUCUCACGCAGUACUUCCACCGUAAUGCUCCUGAUAAUUUCAACCUGCAUGCUGCAGCCUAUAGUUGUCUGGAGAUGGAGCAGAAGUUGAGUUGUGCAGUAGGCUUCACUCCUAACCUUGCUGAACUGAGCAACCGUAUCAAGGAGGAAGCACGCAGUGUGACCAAAUCAGAGCUUGAAUCUCCUGUUGCAGCUGCUGCCUUUCUGUGUAUUGCAGAAGAAGCCAAGUUGAUGUCUGAGUUAAUGGCAUGUGAAAUCAAGAACCGUGAAGAGCUUGAUGAUUUCAUUACCGAUGUGCUGGAAGAUCAGCCGAUCAACUUUAGCAAUGCGGUCCGUCGGAUUGUAUUUAAUAUUCUGACCACCUACAAAGGGUCUUGUUCUGAAGCUGUCGCUGCUUCCAUAUUGGCCAUGAGAAAGGAAGCUAAUAUUCUACGUGAGUUGCUGAAGCUAGAUCAGAACAACAUGUACCGCUUUGCAAGGUUUAACAUCUGUGAAAGUCUGCGGCGUUCUUUACGGAAAUUUCUCAUUGGCAUUCGUGAUUGCAACUUUCCAGAAUUGCCGAUACCUGAGCCAGUUAUGCAAAGUGAAAAAAAUCAUGAUAUGGGUUCGUGCCCUGAUGGCACUGUUGUGAUUGCGGUCUCUAGUACUCCCGUAACCACCAGCGUUACUGCUCCUGCUACUGCCAUAUCAUGUGACAACACCUUGCUCGCAAUGGUCAGCCGUAAACAUAUGGUCAGGUUUCUGGGGACUAUGGAAAACACAAAGGAAUUUGAAGAUGUCAACGAUGUGCCGCCAUUGGAUAUCAUCCUCUACAAAGAUCUUAUGCAAUCCGCAUGGGGUUGGCACAGGCUAUUGCCCUGGACGCCUGGUUAUGUUCCUUUUAAAGUCUAUUUGAAUUACUGCACUGAGUACCUUGCUGAGUACAACAACCGGAAUACUGAUGGUAAUUUGAACCUUUAUGCUGCAGCCUGUAUUUGUCUGGAUAUGGAGAAGUCGAUUCCUGCAGUGGGUUCCACAACUAGUCUUGUUGAACUGAGCGACAAUAUCAAGGAGAAAGCGAGCAGUGUGACCGAAUCAGAUCCUGAAUCUCCUGUUGCAGCUGCUGGCUAUAUGUGUAUUGCGGAAGAAGCCAAGUUAAUGUCUGAGUUAUUGGCAUGUGAAAUCAAGAACCAUGAGGAGGAUGAUUUCAUUACCGAGGUGCUGGAGGAUCAGUUGUUCAACUUUAGCAAUGCGGUCCGUAAGAUUGUGUUUAAUAUUCUGUGCACCUACAAAGGGCCUUGUCCAGAAGCUGUUGCUGCUUCGAUGUUGGGGUUGAAAAAGGAGGCUAGUAUCAUAAGGGAGUUGUUGGAGCUGAAUCAGAACUGCAUGAACCGCUUUGUGAGGCUCCGCAUCUGUGAGAGUCUACGGCGGUCUUCACGGCAAUUUCUUUAUGGCGUUCGCGAUUGCAAGUUUCCAGAAUUGCUGGCAUCUGAACCAGAUAAGGCAAGUGCUCUGAAUGAUUGCGAAGCUGACCAUGACAACAUGAGUAUGGAAAGUGAGAGCAGUGGAGAGAUCAGUGGCAUUGAAGUGCACAGUUCUCAUGCAUCUGACACGAGUUUGAGGCGUGGAAAUGAAGUUGGAGAAAGAUUGCUGACAUCUGAACCGGAGAAGGCAAGUGCUGUGGAUGAUUGCGAAGUUGACCACGACAACAAAAGACGGAAAGUGAGCAAUGGAAAGAUCAGUGUGGGCGAAGAUGCCACAAUGGCCUGA